GUUUUCUUCACUUCAAGGGUAAGAUUUUCCUGUCAGGUGCCAGGAAUAUGUCCUUCACAUUGUCCUUCGUGGCAUUUCAUGGGUCCUCCCAUCUGGAGAUGUUACCUUUCUGCUCGUCUUCCAUUGUGUUCCCAGGAGCCCCCACUCUUGCCUGUUGUCUUUUCCUGGAGCUCCUGAGAGGCAGAACUUAGACCUCUUCCACUUGCCUCGCUCCCCGUGUGUUGUUUCCUUCUUUUCCUUUAGCUCUGCUCUCUGCAUCAAUUACUUAUUUCCAUGUAGAUCCUCUAGCUGGAUCUUUAGCUCUAACCAUUCCAUUAUCUGGCCCACCCACAGAAGUUAGCUCAGCAUUCUUGUUCUUGGCCUCCUUCUUCAUACUAGGGGAUCCAACCCAGGGCCUCCCACAUGCUAGGCCAGUGCUGUUCUACUGAGCUGCAUCUUCAGCCCAGCAAUCUCAUUCUUAAUGUAAGAACUAUUUCUUAUUUUUAGACUUUUUUUUUUUUAGCAUCUAGUCUUGUUUUAUGAAUGUAGUAUUGUUUUGAUUGCCUCUGAAGCAACUAAUUAGAGUUUCUUUAAAAGCUGUAUUUGGGUCCUUGAGUUUGUUACUUUAGGGCUUGGUCACUUCAGGCCUUCUCUCCUGCCUGGGUCUUCUAGAACUGAGAGGGCUGUGGCAUCUGAACGUUGGGAGUACUGCUGAGGGCAGUGUAGGCACCUGGCUAGGUUUUAUGCUCCAGAGGUCUGGCUGUGCGUCCUGCGUUCAGGUGAUCCUGUGGAGUUUGUCCACCUGCAGACCUCUCUGCAGGAGUUAGACCUCCCUGGAGGUGUCAGGCCUUCCUAGAAGUCCUGGGAUGCCACUUGCUCCCUAAUGGAGGUAGUUUAUGUCUGUGGCUGGACAGAGAAUGAGGGGGCUGCAAGGUCUCCCCCUAAAUUUUCCACCAAGGGGCUCCUGAUUGCUGACCUCAGCUUUUCCUGGGCCAACCCACAGGCAUAGGAAAUAACUGCAAGAAAUAACUGCAAAUAGCCUGGCUCUGACCAUCUCUCACCUGAUAGGUGGAGCGUGUGUCGCACCCGCUGCUGCAGCAGCAGUACCAGCUGCACCUGGAGCGCCUUGAGGAACGCUGCGUGCAGCGCCCUGUGGAGCGGGUCCUGUACCAUGGCACAUCGGCCUCCGCAGUGCCGGACAUCUGCGCGUUCGGUUUUAACCGCAGCUUCUGCGGCCGCAACGGUUAGGCCUAGGCUGGGCAGGGCUGGGGCUCCAUCAACCCCCAUCACUCUGACCUCUGCCGCUUCCGCCUUGCAGGUACGCUCUACGGGCAGGGUGUGUACUUCGCCAAGCGCGCCUCCCUAUCCGUGCAGGACCGCUACUCGCCUCCCAAUGCUGACGGCCACAAGGCGGUGUUUGUGGCACGGGUGCUGACGGGAGACUAUGCGCAGGGCCGCCGCGAUCUGCGGGCACCCCCUCUGCGGCCCUCUGGCCAUGUGCUCCUGCGCUACGACAGUGCUGUGGAUUGCCUCCAUCAGCCCAGCAUCUUUGUCAUCUUCCACGACACUCAGGCGCUGCCCACUCAUCUCAUCACCUGCGAGCACAUACCCCCGGCUUCCCUUGGGCUCUCGAGUCCCUCUCUGGCCACCUGACCCAAGGGGUUAGCCUGUGGCCUGCUGCUCUACAGGUUCCCCGUUCUACAAACCCCCCUUUCCUCCCUGGGGACGUUCCUGCUUCUUGUUGGGGAGCAGGAAUCCAGGCCGACCCGGAGGGCUGGGUCGGCCCAACCACCAGGGGUCAGCAAAGCCCAGCAGGAGGGUGCGCCGGCCUGACACGCCCGUCUUGGCUGGACCUCGUCUGAGCGCUUCUGUGUCUCUGAAUAAACGUGAAACCAGGCAGAACCUCCUGGCGUUCGGAAUCAGACCUCUGGAGAGU
rnacentral:lncRNA from 1 species